rnacentral:rRNA from 1 species
UACGUAGGGGGCUAGCGUUGUCCGGAAUCAUUGGGCGUAAAGCGCGUGUAGGCGGUCCGGUAAGUCCGCUGUGAAAGUCGAGGGCUCAACCCUGGGAUGCCGGUGGAUACUGUCGGGCUCGAGUCCGGAAGAGGCGAGUGGAAUUCCUGGUGUAGCGGUGAAAUGCGCAGAUAUCAGGAGGAACACCAAUGGCGAAGGCAGCUCGCUGGGACGUGACUGACGCUGAGACGCGAAAGCGUGGGGAGCAAACAGG